rnacentral:rRNA from 1 species
UGUGUUUCGACACACUAUCAUUAACUGAAUCCAUAGGUUAAUGAGGCGAACCGGGGGAACUGAAACAUCUAAGUACCCCGAGGAAAAGAAAUCAACCGAGAUUCCCCCAGUAGCGGCGAGCGAACGGGGAGGAGCCCAGAGCCUGAAUCAGUGUGUGUGUUAGUGGAAGCGUCUGGAAAGGCGCGCGAUACAGGGUGACAGCCCCGUACACAAAAAUGCACAUAUUGUGAGCUCGAUGAGUAGGGCGGGACACGUGGUAUCCUGUCUGAAUAUGGGGGGACCAUCCUCCAAGGCUAAAUACUCCUGACUGACCGAUAGUGAACCAGUACCGUGAGGGAAAGGCGAAAAGAACCCCGGCGAGGGGAGUGAAAAAGAACCUGAAACCGUGUAC